CUGACACAGGGAGGUAGUGACAAGAAAUAACAAUACGGGGCUUAAUGUCUUGUAAUUGGAAUGAUGGGAAUUUAAACCUCUUCCAGAGUAUCAAUUGGAGGGCAAGUCUGGUGCCAGCAGCCGCGGUAAUUCCAGCUCCAAUAGCGUAUAUUAAAAUUGUUGCAGUUAAAAAGCUCGUAGUUGAAUUUCUGCUACAUUGCAUUUUCUCCUAUACGAGUUUUUGCAUUGUGCUUAUUUCGG
rnacentral:rRNA from 1 species